UGAUGAUCCGCCCCCCUUCCUUUCUCAUGCAGUGGACUAAUCCGUAUUACUGCGCAUGUGCAGAUUGAUUCAGGAAAACGGACAUGAGACAAACAUGUCGGCGCGGUUUGGUGGACACAGAGACGGUGUUGACAGGAGCACAGUGGAGGAGAACGCAGUAGAUUUAGGGAUGAAGUUGAGAGUAACUGUUUUUAUCACAUAGAUAUGUGUAUGGAAGCGCUAAAGUAUUAUUAUUAAUGUUCUUAACCAUGGCAAUAAAUGAUCAAAGUUUUGUCAGUGCAGUACAACAAGGAUGUGGAGGACCCCAAUGACUGAGUUUGCCUUUGGCCCCCGAAUGACUAAAUACGCCCCUACUCAAACAACAAAGGGGAAAUGAAAGCAAAAACGUGUUUGGCGUGUGUGUGCACGUCUGCUGUGAGACAGCUGGGGAACGUCGACUUUGCUCUCAUUGGCUGAGCUGUCGUCAAGCAAAGUUUGAGGACGGACCGGGAAAUUUCCCCCUGGCUGCAUGCGGUGGUGACGUCACGCUGGGUUUUUAAACAACAGGUAGGAAGGAGACAAAAGCACCACAUAAAACACACUUGACUACUUGACAGUUGACCUACUUGCAGGCUUUGGAAAAACAUAACAAUUAGACUGCGUAACAAUCAACCCCUCCAGCCUGUUUGUCUCCCUCUAUGUAUAUUAUCUGAUUUAUAAAAAUGUUCGGAAAUUUCCAUUAGCAUUACCUUUUCUUGCAGCGUAUAAUUAUUUACCAUUACUACACAUUUUCUAUGCCUUUCUUCCCCAUUACAAAACUGUGAUAAUAUGUCAACAUGUAAGUUAUUAUAAAUGUCAAACAGUCUGCUUCUUCCUACUGUUCCUACAUAUUGAAUUUGUGCAUAAAAAUGAUGUGAUUAACUUGUUAAACCAUGAAAAUGACCACAAAAGUGUAGAGGUAGAGGUUUGUGUAUGUCCUUGCAGGAGGGAAAUGGUGAGAACUGGGUGAGAGGUCACAUCCAAGUAGGUGACUGAUCAUUACAACAAAGUCUGCAACUUGUUGAUGCUUAUAUUCAUAUUAAUAUUAUAAUAUUGCAUUUGUGGUCUAUGUACUGUGAAGUAUGUAUUUUAGGUUGUGCUUUCUGCAAUGAUUUACAGCCACACCCAUGUAGGAGACAGGCACAGCUUCACCCAGGUCGUAGAAAGUAACUAUGCAGUUGGAAGGAGCUCUGACUGCAACCAAUGCAGCCUGGAUGCACGGCUGCCACUGAGCCUCGCACUGCGCAGGAUCCAGUUACUGUUGUAAAAUGGAUCAUCCCGCCUGACAGGCAGAACCAUGCAAAUUAUGCGCAGCAGCAGAAGCGCACAGACGGUCAUCAAAACAUCUCGAGUAUCAGCAGGGCAGCAAGAGAAGACACUCGUUGACCUUGUCGGCACAAACGUGUUCACCAAGUGCAACGUAGAAAGGCCACGCAUGCACAGUCACUGUGCAACCGGAUCACUCUUUUCGUGAUAAACAAGCGAGGCUUCAGCAGACUCGCUAAGUCACCAUAACUCACAUUCUUACCCCUGCAGAGUGGAAUGGCAACCAUCACACAGCAGCAUCUAUCUAUGCUAUACUGUAUACAGUAUGUGUCUAAACAUGGCCGCACUGCGAACAUGAUCACAGGCCCGGAACAUCAUGUCCUGAUUAUCCUGCAACAGCCACAAACACACGACACUACAAAUGCGGCAAUUUGGAAGAAAAGUGGUCCCGAAGAAGCAAAACAGUCCCAGACCAUUACACUACCACCACCAUAUUUUACUGUUAGUAUGAUGUUCUUUUUCUGGCAUUACUUCUACACCAAUUAACAUGAGCCUUAAUGUUCACUUAUAAAAUGUGUAUAUAUAGUUCAUUAAUAACUGGCAGGAGGUUAUAUGUACUAUACAAUACAAUAAUAUGUAGGGUUGGGUAUUAAGUCUCGAAUAUCGAUGGGAACCGGGACUGACAUUGCGAUUCCCCCGGAUCGUUCAUAUUUAAAGUUUGGAGUUUCGAUGCCUACUUUGUUAACGGAAAGAAAUAGCCGCAAGUACCAAUGAAGAAGAAGAUGCUAAAGAGGGUGCAUGACCAACAUGAUUGAACAUCUCCGGUUUUAUUUUUCGUGAUAAAGCAUCGUGGGCUACAUCCUCUCCUCAUAACAAAAUAAGGGCGUCAUGGUCUCACUUAACAUCGACAAAAACACAGUAAUUACUGAGUAACUAAUUAGCAACUUUUUUCGAAUUAACAAGUGGUUAGCGCGCAGACCUCACAGCUAGGAGACCAGGGUUCAAUUCCACACUCGGCCAUCUCUGUGUGGAGUUUGCAUGUUCUCCCCGUGCAUGCGUGGGUUUUCUCCGGGUACUCCGGUUUCCUCCCACAUUCCAAAAACAUGCUAGGUUAAUUGGCGACUCCAAAUUGUCCAUAGGUAUGAAUGUGAGUGUGAAUGGUUGUUUGUCUAUAUGUGCCCUGUGAUUGGCUGGCCACCAGUCCAGGGUGUACCCCACCUCUCGCUUGAAGACAGCUGGGAUAGGCUCCAGCACCCCCUGCGACCCUCGUGAGGAUAAGCGGUAGAAAAUGAAUGAAUGAAUGAAUUUGAAUUGGUACUUGUAUUGUAUAUUCUUAGCUACUGUUUCAGCGUUAAGUUGCUGUAUGAUGAAUUUAGUGUUCUUAAUGUUAAAUUGACUUAAGAUUGUGUUUGUGCGCCCCCCCUCCCCGCGACCCUCGUGAGGAAAAGCGGUAGAAAAUGAAUGAAUGAAUGACUAAGGCACAUCAAUUUAGAGUAGUUAUUGAGGAACUAAUGAAAAACUGAGUAGGGGUUAAGGUUAGGUUGUCUUGUUCCUCAUUAACUACAGUAACUGUGCGUACUUUAUAGUAUAAAGUGUUAGCGGUGUCAUAAAAAAUACUUUACACCAACAUUGAGGCUGCAAACAAAAUGUAUCAUCCAAAAACAGCACCCUCAUUUAAAUCAUGCAAAGUGUUCAGACCCCAAGACGAUCAGUCAUCAUUUCCACAGACAUCGAUAUUUUCAAUUUUAGACAGUAUCGAAAGUAUCAAUAUUUUAGUAUCGAUCCACACAUUCCUAUCACAAACACUGGAUGAGCUUUUGCUUGCACAUGGAUCAUCUAACAUUGUAGUUUUUAAGUAAAUAUCAUAAUUCAGACCAAAUAACAGGGCUGAAAAUGAUA